rnacentral:misc_RNA from 1 species
UGGUUCUGGCAUCGAUGAAGAACGCAGCGAAAUGCGAUAAGUAAUGUGAAUUGCAGAAUUCAGUGAACCAUCGAAUCUUUGAACGCACAUUGCGCCCGCCAGCAUUCUGGCGGGCAUGCCUGUCCGAGCGUCGUAUCGACCCUCAAGCCCCUGGCUUGGUGUUGGGGCUCUCCCGCGGAGAAACGCGGGCCCCGAAACGCAGUGGCGGCCCCGAGCCGGUGCCCGAGCGCAGUAAGCACUUGCCUCGCCGGGACGUCCGGGAGGGCGCCAGCCGUUAAGACAGCAGUAGCGUAGGCUGCAACCGUGGUUGACCUCGGAUCAGGUAGGAAUACCCGCUGA